CCUACGGGUGGCAGCAGUGGGGAAUCUUUGGCAAUGGACGCAAGUCUGACCCAGCAACGCCGCGUGAAGGAAUGAGGCUUUCGGGUUGUAAACUUCUUGUCAGGGGGAAGAGCAGAAGACGGUACCCCUUGAAUAAGCCACGGCUAACUACGUGCCUGCAACCGCGGUAAUACGUAGGUGGCAAGCGUUGUCCGGAUUUACUGGGUGGAAAGGGUGUGCAGCCGGAGAGAUAAGUCAGAUGUGAAAUCCACGGGCUCAACCCGUGAACUGCAUUUGAAACUGUUUGCCUUGAGUGUCGGAGAGGUAAUCGGAAUUCCUAGUGUAGCAGUGAAAUGCGUAGAGAUUAGGAAGAACACCAGUGGCGAAGGCGGAUUACUGGACGAUAACUGACGGUGAGGCGCGAAAGCGUGGGGAGCAAACAGGAUUAGAUACCCGGGUAGUC
rnacentral:rRNA from 1 species